GACGAACGCUGGCGGCGUGCUUAACACAUGCAAGUCGAACGGAAAGGCCCUGCUUUUGUGGGGUGCUCGAGUGGCGAACGGGUGAGUAACACGUGAGUAACCUGCCCUUGACUUUGGGAUAACUUCAGGAAACUGGGGUUAAUACCGGAUAGGAGCUCCUGCUGCAUGGUGGGGGUUGGAAAGUUUCGGCGGUUGGGGAUGGACUCGCGGCUUAUCAGCUUGUUGGUGGGGUAGCGGCUUACCAAGGCUUUGACGGGUAGCCGGCCUGAGAGGGUGACCGGCCACAUUGGGACUGAGAUACGGCCCAGACUCCUACGGGAGGCAGCAGUGGGGAAUAUUGCACAAUGGGCGGAAGCCUGAUGCAGCAACGCCGCGUGCGGGAUGACGGCCUUCGGGUUGUAAACCGCUUUCGCCUGUGACGAAGCGUGAGUGACGGUAAUGGGUAAAGAAGCACCGGCUAACUACGUG
rnacentral:rRNA from 1 species